rfam:Dipodomys ordii contig_16771, whole genome shotgun sequence.
UGGCGCAGUGGUAAAGCGCUUGCCUUCCAUGCAUGAGGCCCUGGGUUCGAUUCCCAG